GAAACUUGGCUCUGAUACCACUUGUUGGAUCGAGAUCCGAGGCUAUAAGGGGGGAUAAUAGCCUCUUUUCGAUUUAUACAGGUUGAUUGCGGAAUUACCUGUAAAUGCUUAAUAAACAAAUGGUUGAACAAUAAUGAUAUAAAGAUAUUAUGAUUUUGAUUGAUAUAAUAAUGUAAUUAUUACUCUUCGAAGCUUACUCCAGUAUAUGAAUACUGAGUCAACUUGCUUGAUAGUGUUUUACACACAACUAUAGUAUAUGAAUACUAAGUUAUAUUGUAAACACAAAUUGUAUUGUAGAGUAAAUGACCAGAUAACUGGAUAUAUUGAUAAGCAAGUAAGUGACCAGAUAACUGGAUAAAUAUGAUAAGUAAUACUUGAACAAAUAUAAGGAUUUAAAGCAAUGAAUAUAACCUCAGAUGGUUGACCAGAUAACUGGAUGAGGGAUCUGCGUAAAGUAGUCAACCUCUGUAUUUGACCAGAUAACUGGAAGAGGGAUCUUUUUAAUUAAGUGUUGUUUUUAAAUAAAAGAUAAAACUAUAAUUAACAGAGAACAACACAAGAGAUUUAUACUGGUUCACCCAAACAAGGGCUAGUCCAGUCCCGACCAACUGUCGGAAUUCACUCGCCUAAAGGUAAUGGCAAAACCUUAGAGUAUCAAGGAAACUCUUAAGAACCUCUCUAAGCUUUAAGGCUACUUCGCUUAGGAACCAGUCUUUUACGGGUAGACUCACACCUUAGAGUAUCAAGGGCACUCUUAAGAACCUCUAACUUUUACGGGUAAGUUAGUACCUUAGAGUAUCAAGGAACUCUUAAAAACCUCUGAAAUCUUUAAAGAUAGACUCAACCUAAGAGUUUUCCUGUAAACUCUAUAAAACCAAACUAGAGCUUUAUGGUUGAGCUCACAAACUUUCUCUCUCACUUUGGUACUAUUGAGACAACCCUCUCAACCAAAGUGGACACACACAAGAGGUGAUUAGAGGAGUGGAAUAUUAAAGCAAACAACACUUCUUACUUGUAAAGAUGAACAAGAAGAUUAGAAGAAGAUGUUGGAGAGCUUUUGAAGCUUUGGAAAGCUAGGACACUUGAGCACUUGAAAGCUUGGAAGUUUGGAGGCAAAAACGUGUGGGCAAGUGUGGAGUGAAAGCUCUUGAGUUUGCUUGUAGUGUGGUGAGUGAAAAUGAGGGGUUUACCCUUCUAUUUAUAGCCUUGGCCACUCAAUGUCCACCCUUGGAUCUUCAAUGGAUGGCUUCUUGAUUUCUCACAUAAAUCCAAGCUUUGUCUUUGAUCUUAUCUUGAAUAGUGUUUUUCUUGGAUAGAGUUUGUUGGAGAAUCUUAUCUUUGUAUAAAUUCAAACUUGAAUAGUGUUUU
rnacentral:lncRNA from 1 species